rnacentral:rRNA from 1 species
ACGACGCUGGCGGCGUGCCUAACACAUGCAAGUCAACUUGACUGAAGGAGCAAUCUGACAGUAGAGUGGCGCAAGGGUGCGUAACGCGUAAGUAACUUGCCCAAGGUAAGGAAUAACGCCGAGAAAUCGGCGCUAAUACCUCAUAAUGCAGCGGAUCCGCAUGGAUAUGUUGUUAAAGGUUUACCGCCUUGGGAUAGGCUUGCGUCUGAUUAGCUAGUUGGUGUGGUAACGGCACACCAAGGCUACGAUCAGUAACUGGUCUGAGAGGAUGAUCAGCCACACUGGAACUGAGACACGGUCCAGACUCCUACGGGAGGCAGCAGUGAGGAAUAUUGGGCAAUGCUCGAAAGAGUGACCCAGCAACGCCGCGUGGAGGAUGAAGGUAUUCUAUAUCGUAAACUCCUGUGAGAGCAGACGAAAGACAGAUUAUUAAUCUGGAUGACUGUAUGCUCAGAGGAAGCCCCGGCUAACUACGUG